CAUAUGAAAGACUAAGGAAAAAUUGCGUUUGAGGUAAGGAUCUGUGUAUUUUGAUUGUUUUUUUUUUUUUGUAGCUUGGGUUUUUGCUUGAUUGGUGAAAGGUGAAGACGAUGAUUGGAAUGGAGGAAACUAGUCGAAAUCAAGUAGUAGUAGUAGUAGUAGUAGGUUAUACAAUUUAGUGGUGUAAUUAAAUAUUAUGAGUAUGCUUUAGGGUCGGUUUCUAUAUUGCUUUAAGGUCAGAAACACUUCACAAGUGUUUGUUGAAUUUUCUGAUUGCAACAGAAUAUUAAAAGAAAUUGAAAGAUAAGAAAACCUAAAAAAACAAAAUUGAAGAAUAAGUAGAAAGCAAUUAUGGUUAAAAUCUGCUUCAAAUGUUGAAUCAUUUGUUUUCUUGUUUAUAUAACACUCACCAUCCUGCUAGAUAUCAUAAUUUAAUUACAUAACUUUAUUUUGAUUUUAUGUUGGUUUCUUGUUUAUGGUUAUGAAGGUGAGUGGUAGUUUUGCAGAGGAGCUUCACUUGGAAAGUUUGCAGCAUCAAAUAGAAAAUGAUCUUAUGCCAAGUGCCCGAUGUGACCAAAGUGAUUCUUAUGGUAUCCUUUUAGUUAUAUGUUCUAUGGCGAAUUAUAUAAGCUAACUUCUUCUUUUUUUGUUUACAAUUAGUUAAUAUUUAAAAAAGAUGUUAUACCUGCUAUAUGGACCAUGAGGUAUACUAUCUAUGUUGUUUAGUUUGCCUUAAUUUCUUUCUGUUUAGUUUUCAGCCAAGGUUGGAAUUUCUUAGGCUUGGCUGGUGGAACAUUAUUAAUUUUCAAGUUGAUUACAAAUAUGCAGUUGGGGAUAGGAUAGUGGCAAAGGAUUGGAAUGAGCUAGGGGUGACAAACUGUGGAAAUGAGACAAAACUCCUAAGUGGAUUAGUUAUCGAGGUGGAUUGCCCAAGGCAUUAUAUGUGGUGAAAGAUGUAUUAACUGGAAUGAGAAAACAUGUUCAUCUGUUGGACAUAACAACUUUAUCACAACUUAGAAAAGAUGCACAUCCUGGCUUUUAUAAUGGCUUUAGGCACAUGGACUGUAACCAUUGGUGUAUUGCUGGACUUCUAGAUACUUGGAAUCAACUUUUUAUGCAUUCCUCAUAAUUGUCAUGCUUGUUCUGGUAUUUUUAGUUUAUAAAAAUUAUCAUACGGUUACUUAGGUCCUUCCUUCCAUAGAUCACCAUUUUUAAGGGAAUCAAGUAUCAAAACACGACCGAUCUUUUCAUUUUCAA